GUUUGGGUGCUGGUGGUGGUUUACCAGGUAGGACUGGUGUUGUGCCUGGAAUAGUCUAUGGGAAUGGAACUGGGGCCCGAUUAUUAGGUCCAG
rnacentral:lncRNA from 1 species